rnacentral:rRNA from 1 species
UACGGAGGGUGCAAGCGUUGUUCGGAAUCACUGGGCUUAAAGGGCGUGUAGGCGGGGCGCAGGGUGUUGGGUGAAAUCCUCGGGCUCAACCCGAGAACUGCCCGGCAAACCGGCGCUCUUGAGGCAGGUAGAGGUGACUGGAACGACGGGUGGAGCGGUGAAAUGCGUAGAUAUCCGUUGGAACGCCGGUGGCGAAAGCGGGUCACUGGGCCUGUCCUGACGCUGAUACGCGAAAGCGUGGGUAGCAAACAGG